ACGGGUGAGUAAUGUCUGGGAAACUGCCUGAUGAGGGGGAUAACUACUGGAAACGGUAGCUAAUACCGCAUAACGUCGCAAGACCAAAGAGGGGGACCUUCGGGCCUCUUGCCAUCAGAUGUGCCCAGAUGGGAUUAGCUAGUAGGUGGGGUAACGGCUCACCUAGGCGACGAUCCCUAGCUGGUCUGAGAGGAUGACCAGCCACACUGGAACUGAGACACGGUCCAGACUCCUACGGGAGGCAGCAUG
rnacentral:rRNA from 1 species